rnacentral:rRNA from 1 species
UUUAUUAGAAGAGACGCAUUUAUUAGAUAAAAAGCCAGUUCAUGCUUUUAYAGUAUGAAAAUUGGUGAUUUAUAAUAACUUAGCAAAUCGCAAAGUGAAAACAGGCGAUAAAUCAUUCAAGUUUCUGACCUAUCAGCUUUCGACGGUAUGGUAUUGGCUUACCGUGGCAGUGACGGUUAACGGGGGAUUAGGGUUCGAUUCCGGAGAGGGAGCCUGAGAAACGGCUACCACAUCUAAGGAAGGCAGCAGGCGCGCAAAUUACCCAAUUCUAACAGUUUGAGAGAGGUAGUAACAAGAAAUAACAAUACAAGGCAGUUAAAAUGCUUUGUAAUUGGAAUGAUAGAAAUUUAAACCCUUUUUAAAGUAUCAAUUGGAGGGCAAGUCUGGUGCCAGCAGCCGCGGUAAUUCCAGCUCCAAUAGCGUAUAUUAAAAUUGUUGCAGUUAAAAAGCUCGUAGUUGAAGUUCUGCUGAAAGUAACCGGUCUGCUUUUAAUAAAAGUGGUAUCUUGGUAUGUAUUUMGCAAUGAUGUCCUUUGAAGUGUUUUUUACUUUAUUGUAAUAAAGCAUAUUCAGGACUUU